rnacentral:tRNA from 1 species
GCGGAAGUAGUUCAAUGGUAGAACGAUAGCUUCCCAAGCUAUAGACGCGGGUUCGAUUCCCGUCUUCCGCUCCA